UAUGUCGAAAUGUCAAAAUAAUGAAAAAUAAAAGUCUUGAUCGUCUUGAUGUUUUGAUCUGAUAUUUAGCUAAUGACUUUAUUUAUAAUAAUAAUUGUAAUUUGAAAUGUUUCGUGUUAUUAUUAUCACUCCAGUGUGAUGGUUGUAUUGCCUAAGUGCCACGACCGCUGACAAAAUUGUGUAAAACAGAUUUUUUGGUGACGAGAUUUUGCAUCGAGAAAAACAGACGGAGAAUGGAAGCACUCAGAAGUGCAGUGGUUUUGUGCUACUGGCCAGAAGUCACGGGAUCUUAUGGACUUGAAGGAUAUUCGGUACGUUUUGUGGGAUCACACGAAAACUUGAGCAAAACAAAACGAAUGAACUUUUGUUGGCUACUCCAGGAGCAGGAGAAAGACUAGCACUUGGAGCUACUCAGCAGAGCAAAACCCCGGGCUGCACGGAAUAGCUAGAAGAAUCACAACAAAACAACGAAACCUAAAGUACCUACUGCCUGCUGGUUUCAGUAAUGCAAACGGAUGGACAAUUAUUUCGACACGGAUGCGCGUGAAGUUCUGACGUUAGGCUAAAUCCUCGGUUAAAUCAUGAAGCCGGCACAAUCACAGGUGCCAGUAAGCACUGCAGCAAGCAACAUUUCGGGUUCCUUGAAGAUAGUUUCAAUGCAAAUAGAAAUACGGUGGUUCGAAAGCAAGCAAACUGAGUGAUGACGAAAACGUUCUGAUUAAUGAAGACGGACAUCUCAUGGAUGCGCACUAAUUAUAAUCACAUAUGUAUAUGUUAAAAUCAUUAACCAGAUCAGGCGGAGUAUAAUAAAAAGGCGAGAAUCACCAUCGACGACUAGGUGACGUAUAACUUGCAUUAUUUGUCGUUAUGAACAGAUUAUAGUAAAAUAAAUGUAAUGAAAUUCGUAAUUCGAAUAAUGUA